GACGUAGGAGGCGAGCGUUGUCCGGAUUCAUUGGGCGUAAAGAGCUCGUAGGCGGUUUGUCGCGUCUGCCGUGAAAGUCCGGGCUCAACUCCGGAUCUGCGGUGGGUACGGGCAGACUAGAGUGAUGUAGGGGAGACUGGAAUUCCUGGUGUAGCGGUGAAAUGCGCAGAUAAUCAGGAGGAACACCGAUGGCGAAGGGCAGGGUCUCCUGGGACAAGUUC
rnacentral:rRNA from 1 species